GAUGAACGCUGGCGGCGUGCCUAAUACAUGCAAGUCGAGCGAACGGACGAGAAGCUUGCUUCUCUGAUGUUAGCGGCGGACGGGUGAGUAACACGUGGAUAACCUACCUAUAAGACUGGGAUAACUUCGGGAAACCGGAGCUAAUACCGGAUAAUAUUUUGAACCGCAUGGUUCAAAAGUGAAAGACGGUCUUGCUGUCACUUAUCGAUGGAUCCGCGCUGCAUUAGCUAGUUGGUAAGGUAACGGCUUACCAAGGCAACGAUGCAUAGCCGACCUGAGAGGGUGAUCGGCCACACUGGAACUGAGACACGGUCCAGACUCCUACGGGAGGCAGCAGUAGGGAAUCUUCCGCAAUGGGCGAAAGCCUGACGGAGCAACGCCGCGUGAGUGAUGAAGGUCUUCGGAUCGUAAAACUCUGUUAUUAGGGAAGAACAUAUGUGUAAGUAACUGGGCACAUCUUGACGGUACCUAAUCAGAAAGCCACGGCUAACUACGUG
rnacentral:rRNA from 1 species